rfam:Amazona aestiva scaffold_144, whole genome shotgun sequence.
CAGCCAGUGUUGACCCCAUGAAGAAUACCUCUAUCCAGGCCAUGAGUAGCUAGUUUCUCCAGAAGAAUGCUGUGGGAGACAGUGUCAAAUGCGUUGCUAAAGUCCAGACUGACAGUGUCCACAGCCUCUGUCCUCAGAGUAGUGAAAUAUCACUACUCUGAUCAUGUUUUCACUUACCCAGUGAAGCGGGAGGGUGAGCCCUGAGGGGGGCUCUCACUUCUGGCUCNAACCCCAACCCACUCCAGGGACAGCAGCAGGUGGGGAGUUUGAAUGGGGCAGUAUACUUGUAAAAGAGUAUCACAGGUGUUCUAAGGUGAGCUCAGGGAGGACGGAAACCUCCUGCGGAGCAGAAGGGCAACAGCUUGCUUGAUCUUGAUUUUCGGUAUGAAUACAGGCUGUGAAAGCAGGAAGUGACAGGAAAGUUACCGCAGGGAUAACCAGCUUGUGACNGCCAAGAAUUCAUAGCGACAUCACUUUUUAAUCCUUCAAUGUCAGAUCUUCCUAUCAUUGUGACGCAGAAUUCACCAAGUGUUGGAUUGUUCACCCACUUAUAGGGAACAUGAGCUGGGAUUAGACUGUCAUGAGACAGGUUUGUUUUACCCUACUGAUGACGUGUUGUUGCAAUAGUAAUGCUCCUCAGUAUGACAGGAACCACAGGUUCAGACCCCUGGUGUGUGCAAUUGGCUGAGAAGCCACUGGCGUAAGGCUACCAUCUGCGGGCUUAUGACUGACCGCCUCUAAAUCAGAAUCCCACCUAGAGGUACUGAUACUGCAGCGCCGCUGGCGCCUCUGUGGGCUCGCAAUAGCCGGCCACCCAUCACAUACCGCAAGGUCAUGGGGCACCCGACACAAAAUCAUUCGUAGACGACCUGACUGUGGGCCAGGAUUUCAUACGUAGCAGAGCAGCUCCUUUGCAGUCAUCUAUGGAGAAUCAGCCCUCAAUGCAAGCUUUU